rnacentral:rRNA from 1 species
AUUGAACGCUGGCGGCAGGCUUAACACAUGCAAGUCGAGCGGAGCGAGGGUGCUUGCACCUUAGCUUAGCGGCGGACGGGUGAGUAAUGCUUAGGAAUCUGCCUAUUAGUGGGGGACAACAUUCCGAAAGGAAUGCUAAUACCGCAUACGCCCUACGGGGGAAAGCAGGGGAUCUUCGGACCUUGCGCUAAUAGAUGAGCCUAAGUCGGAUUAGCUAGUUGGUGGGGUAAAGGCCUACCAAGGCGACGAUCUGUAGCGGGUCUGAGAGGAUGAUCCGCCACACUGGGACUGAGACGCGGCCCAGACUCCUACGGGAGGCAGCAGUGGGGAAUAUUGGACAAUGGGCGGAAGCCUGAUCCAGCCAUGCCGCGUGUGUGAAGAAGGCCUUUUGGUUGUAAAGCACUUUAAGCGAGGAGGAGGCUCUUAAGGUUAAUACCCUUGAUGAGUGGACGUUACUCGCAGAAUAAGCACCGGCUAACUCUGUGCCAGCCGCCGCGGUAAAAC